GAUGAACGCUGGCGGCGUGCCUAAUACAUGCAAGUCGAGCGAACAGAUAAGGAGCUUGCUCCUUUGACGUUAGCGGCGGACGGGUGAGUAACACGUGGAUAACCUGCCUAUAAGACUGGGAUAACUUCGGGACACCGGAGCUAAUACCGGCUAACAUAUUGAACCGCAUGGUUCACUAGUGAAAGCCGGCUUUGCUGUCACUUAUAGAUGGAUCCGCGCCGUAUUAGCUAGUUGGUAAGGUAACGGCUUACCAAGGCAACGAUACGUAGCCGACCUGAGAGGGUGAGCGGCCACACUGGAACUGAGACACGGUCCAGACUCCUACGGGAGGCAGCAGUAGGGAAUCUUCCGCAAUGGGCGAAAGCCUGACGGAGCAACGCCGCGUGAGUGAUGAAGGUCUUCGGAUCGUAAAACUCUGUUAUCAGGGAAGAACAAAUGUGUAAGUAACUGUGCACAUCUUGACGGUACCUGAUCAGAAAGCCACGGCUAACUACGUG
rnacentral:rRNA from 1 species